AAAACCCAAAGGCGAAAUGAAAGUAAAUAGUGGAAUAUUGAUUUUUUUCAGUAUCCAUUAUAGGGAAGAUGGAAACCAUAUCGAUAGUAAUUUUAUAGCAUUUAUGUUAUUAAUUCUAUGUGAUAUUGGUUUCCCGCACUCCCGGGGCGCUUGUUUCUCGCAUUGCGAGUUUCUGCGCACCUAGAGCGUACACGAUGAUACCCGAAAGAUGGUGAACUAUGCCUGGCCAGGACGAAGCCAGGGGAAACCCUGGUGGAGGUCCGCAGCGAUUCUGACGUGCAAAUCGAUCGUCGGAGCUGGGUAUAGGGGCGAAAGACCAAUCGAACCAUCUAGUAGCUGGUUCCCUCUGAAGUUUCCCUCAGGAUAGCUUGCACUCGGUUGAGACGAGUCUCAUCCGGUAGAGCGAAUGAUUAGAGGCAUUGGGGUCGAAACGACCUCAACCUAUUCUCAAACUCCAAAUAGAUGAGACCCCCGGCUUUCUUAAAAAUGAAGCCGUGGGUAUCGGAUCAGAGUGCCAAGUGGGCCAAU
rnacentral:rRNA from 1 species